rnacentral:rRNA from 1 species
UACGGAGGGUGCAAACGUUGCUCGGAAUUACUGGGCGUAAAGAGUGUGUAGGCGGUGCUCUAAGUCUGUUGUGAAAUCUCCCGGCUUAACCGGGAGGGUGCGGCGGAAACUGGAGUGCUUGAGGGUGGGAGAGGUAAGCGGAAUUCCUGGUGUAGCGGUGAAAUGCGUAGAUAUCAGGAGGAACACCUGUGGUGUAGACAGCUUACUGGACCACUUCUGACGCUGAGACACGAAAGCGUGGGUAGCAAACAGG